GUGGACGCUGUGUCGUGCCGUGCAGAAGUUUUUUUUUUUAAGAAAUAGAAUUUCUUUAAUAAAUAGAACACCAAAAAGAUCGGACACCGAAGACGCCAUUAUAAAAGGAGGAAAAUACGACCACAAUACGUGACAAGUCAUCUAGCAGUGAAGUAUGACGACUGGUGGCAUCAGUUAAUGUUAUUUGAUAGAGCUACAUCGUGCUUGAGACGAGAGGUGGCCACCUCUGG